UUGGAUAAUCAUUUCUUGUUGCAGGAUUCAUUCUUCCCAUAAUGAAAUUUGGGUCUCUACAAAAAACUGAACAUAUUUUGUGGCAUGAAAAUUUUUCGUGCGCCAUCUUACCAAUUCUUUUCUCGUUUGAGUUUGAAACUCUGAGUCCUCUCGACUGAAGUCACUUAACCCUCGUCCCUCUCCCUUUGUGUGUGUGUGUGCAAGGUUGACCACCAAUAUCAGCCCUAUAACCAUUAAGAGCAAGCAACAUCAAUUAAGCCAUGAGCAGAGCAUCCCUUUGAUGUUGGACAAUAUAGUUUGAUAAUCCGAGCUCACAUUAUUGAAGAUCCGAGCAUUCCUUUAUCCUUUCCCUCCAAAUACACCAAGGCCCUGUUUGCUUUUCGGUAAGUUAU